rnacentral:rRNA from 1 species
UACAGAGGUCUCAAGCGUUGUUCGGAUUCAUUGGGCGUAAAGGGUGCGUAGGUGGCGCUGUAAGUCGGGUGUGAAAUUUCGGAGCUUAACUCCGAAACUGCAUUCGAUACUGCGGUGCUUGAGGACUGGAGAGGAGACUGGAAUUCAUGGUGUAGCAGUGAAAUGCGUAGAGAUCAUGAGGAAGACCAGUGGCGAAGGCGAGUCUCUGGACAGUUCCUGACACUGAGGCACGAAGGCCAGGGGAGCAAACGGG